GUUUGAUCCUGGCUCAGAACGAACGCUGGCGGCGUGGCUAAGGCAUGCAAGUCGUACGGGAUCACCCGAGUAGCAAUACGAGGGUGGUUUAGUGGCGGACGGGUGAGUAAUGCAUGGGUAACGUGCCUCGAGCUCAGGGAUAGCGUCGGGCCCCGCAAGGGGUCCUUUGCGAAAGUGACGGUAAUACCUGAUGAAGUCGUGGAAUCGCAUGUUUCUACGACCAAAGAUGGGGAUCGCAAGACCUAUCGGCGCGAGAGCGGCCCAUGUCCUAUCAGCUAGUUGGUGAGGUAACGGCUCACCAAGGCAUUGACGGGUAGCCGGCGUGAGAGCGCGACCGGCCACAUCGGGACUGAGACACUGCCCGGACACCUACGGGUGGCUGCAGCAACGAAUAUUCCGCAAUGGGCGCAAGCCUGACGGAGCGACGCCGCGUGGAGGAUGAAGUCCUUCGGGAUGUAAACUUCAAUAGUUUGUCAGGAAGUGAGGCGACCUAAUACGUCGCCGAGUUGACCAGCAAAUGAAAGGGACGGCUAACUCCGUGCCAGCAGCCGCGGUAAGACGGAGGUCCCUAGCGUUGUUCGGAAUUACUGGGCUUAAAGCGCGUGUAGGCGGAAUGGUGAGUACCUUGUGAAAUCCCCGGUCUCAACCCGGGAAUUGCUGGGUAUACUAUCAUUCUUGAGGCAGGUAGGGGUCACUGGAACCUUAGGUGGAGCGGUGAAAUGCGUAGAUAUCUAAGGGAACGCCUGUGGCGAAAGCGAUUUUCUGGAUCGUUUCUGACGCUCAGACGCGAAAGCUAGGGUAGCAAACGGGAUUAGAGACCCCGGUAGUCCUAGCCGUAAACGAUGUGAACUUGGCGUCGUGGCUUAAACUCCAUCGGUGCCGAAGCCAACGCGAUAAGUUCACCGCCUGGGGACUACGACCGCAAGGUUAAACUCAAAGGAAUUG
rnacentral:rRNA from 1 species